CUCUCUCUCUCUCUCUCUCACGCAAAAUUUUUUCUCCAUUCUCUCCCAACUCUCUCAAAUCGAACACCUAAGCUCACAAGUUUUCUCUAAAUUUUUCCAAAAUUCUUCACCCAAUCUCUCAUCCCAAUCAUGAACUCACAAGCCCAAAAACCAUAACUCAUUAAAAUUGAUGGCAAGGAAGUGCAAGGAGCCUCCAUUGCCGACCAAAGGAGAAGGGAGGACCAUCGCUGGCGAGAGAAGAAAAGAAAGAAAGGAAAAGAGGAGAAAAGAAAGAAAAGGAAGGGAAAAAGCAAGAAAAGAAAAGGAAAAAAGACCAAGAAAAGAAAAAAAAAAUUGAAUUGGAGAAAUGGACAGAAGUAAAUUGGAUAAAUUCUGUAAGUGUUUCCCUUUUCCCGAGUGCUUCUUGUUGAUGAGUUUAUCUCACUUCUGGGUCUUUAUUUUUCCUAGAAGUAGCCUGCUUUCCCUGAAGCGACUCAAAAGCUAAUUUCUAUGAAUCCUUGUACAAAAAUCAAGAAAAUUAAAAAAAUAAUAAUAAUACUUGAUCUUGUUCUCGUGUAUCUCGCUCACUUUCUAAUUUAUGGAAGCUCUUGCGAGACCUUUAAGCUCACAUAACCAGCAUUAUCUUCCUCUACAAUUUCAACCCUGUAAGCGUACCUGCCUUUUUGAUCUAUGCAAGAACUGGCCUUGCAGCUUUUGAAGAAGAUGAAAGUGGCAAUGGUAUCAAGAACAAGAAAGAUUGAAUACAAGUAUGCGAUUAACAUCCCCUCAAGAGCCAUCAAAGAAGUUGGUGUUUGGCCUAUAUGAGAAGCUCUCACAAUGCGAUGUUGGAACAGAGCUUCAAUCCCAGUCAAGGAUAAAUUGACAGGGAGGGCAAGUGAGAGUGCUGUUGAAGUCCUUCCGCGAAUCAUUACACAGGCCUUGAGAAUCGCCAGGUAUCCGCCAGAUCUUUCUGUGCCGGAUAAAACCAACGACAGGUUGCAUAUUAUGAGUGCAUUGGCAAGAAGAACAGAAUAAAGAACUACUCCAGCAGCUGAGAGGAGGAGAAGGCUGUUGCGCGAUGAGAAGCCAAACCCUUCAAGAAAAUUAAAAGAAAGGAAUAAGAGACAGAAGGCUGUUGCAUUUGCAGAGAUGAUCAAUAUCGAGUUGCAGAUAUGGGUAAGGAGGAGAGGAUUGAAAAUGGAAAUAAAAGAAGAGAAAGAAUGUGGUGAAGUUGGUUUAUAUUGAUUAAGAGCUUGGAUUACAGAUGCUUUGGAGAAAAGAAAGAAAGUGAGGGUGAAGGGCAGUGUAAAGAUGGAUGAAGAGAUUGUUUGGGAGAGCUUCAGAUUGAGGAAUCUGAAGAAUUCUGAUGAGGGAGGGAAUCCUGCAGCAUUGAAGAGAUUCUCCAAGCGAUUGUAUAUUGUUGGCAAGAGAGAUGUUGAGGAUGGGACUAGUGCUAGUGAAAGCAUAAUUGAGACUGAGAAAGGGAAGGCAAGGAGGGCUGCAAUUGAGGUGAAGUAUUGAUAAUUUUGAAAGAAAAUAUAGAUUGAUCUUCUGAUGAUCUUGCCUGCUUUUUCCAUGGGAAUUCUUGGGUUAUCUUCCAUUGAAGAGAGAGAGAGAGGGGGAUAUUGGCACUAAUGGGUUGUGUAUGAGUGUAGUGUACAAGGCAUUGGUGUCUCCUUUUUAUUUUCAAGUUUUCUUUUAAUAGGAUUUUUUUUUCUCUCUUUUUUCUGCUCUACGAUAGGUUAGAGGAGCAUAAAGGGUUUGCUAUAUUUAGAAGAAUAGAUAGGCCAACUAAAAAGCUACAAAAAUCUAGUAGAAGUGUAGUUGUUUGAGCAUUGUUUUUAACAAUGAACCUCUUUGGUUU
rnacentral:misc_RNA from 1 species